GUGCCAGCAGCCGCGGUAAUUCCAGCUCCAAUAGCGUAUAUUAAAGUUGUUGUGGUUAAAAAGCUCGUAGUUGAACCUUGGGCCUGGCUGGCCGGUCCGCCUCACCGCGUGCACUGGUCCGGCCGGGCCUUUCCCUCUGUGGAACCCCAUACCCUUCACUGGACGUGGCGGGGAAACAGGACAUUUACUUUGAAAAAAUUAGAGUGCUCCAGGCAGGCCUAUGCUCGAAUACAUUAGCAUGGAAUAAUAAAAUAGGACGCGCGGUUCUAUUUUGUUGGUUUAUAGGACCGCCGUAAUGAUUAAUAGGGACAGUCGGGGGCAUCAGUAUUCAACUGUCAGAGGUGAAAUUCUUGGAUCAGUUGAAGACUAACUACUGCGAAAGCAUUUGCCAAGGAUGUUUUCAUUAAUCAGGAACGAAAGUUAGGGGAUCGAAGACGAUCAGAUACCGUCGUAGUCUUAACCAUAAACUAUGCCGACUAGGGAUCGGACGGUGUUAUUCAUGACCCGUUCGGCACCUUACGAGAAAUCAAAGUGCUUGGGCUCCAGGGGGAGUAUGGUCGCAAGGCUGAAACUUAAAGAAAUUGACGGAAGGGCACCACCAGGGGUGGAGCCUGCGGCUUAAUUUGACUCAACACGGGAAACUCACCAGGUCCAGACACAAUAAGGAUUGACAGAUUGAGAGCUCUUUCUUGAUUUUGUGGUGUGGUGCAUGGCCCGUUCUUAGUUGGUGGGGUGACUGUCUGCUUAAUUGCGAUAACGAACGAAAACCUUAACCUGCUAAAUAAGCCCGCAUGCUCCCGCCAGUGCGCCUGGCCUGCUUAAGAGGAACUUUACUGCCUCCAAGCCCGAAGGAAAGAUUUGAUGGCA
rnacentral:rRNA from 1 species